rnacentral:sRNA from 1 species
GGUUUCUGAUUCCACAGGAAGCGGAGAUGAUGAAGAACAAU